UACGUAGGUGGCGAGCGUUAUCCGGAAUUAUUGGGCGUAAAGAGUGAGUAGGCGGUAUGUUAAGUUUAAAGUCAAAGGCUGUGGCUCAACCAUAGUUCGCUUUAAAAACUGACAAACUAGAGUGCGAGAGAGGUUGAUGGAAUUCCAUGUGUAGCGGUGAAAUGCGUAGAUAUAUGGAGGAACACCAGUGGCGAAGGCGGUCAACUGGCUCGUAACUGACGCUCAGUCACGAAAGCGUGGGGAGCAAAUAGG
rnacentral:misc_RNA from 1 species